rnacentral:lncRNA from 8 species
AUGAGUGCACAUUUCCCUGCUGCGUCUUGGUCCGCUUUAUCCGACAACAACCGUUACAGAAUCUCCCACCAACCAAGGACCAAGCAGCGGGGUAAGGAGCAAGGGAACAAUUAUAUGGACUAUCAGGGGAAUUGGACAUGGGAGGAAAUUUUGGACGGGGCUGAACCUUGGCAUCAGGCUGGGGAAUACCGUCGCCCACGGGAGGAAAUAGAGGCAGCCAAGGCGGAGAGGCGUCGGUACGAGGCUUUGUAUGCGCUGAGGGAGAAGCACGAGAGGCACCCCCAAUCAUUUUUUUGGGGGGGGCACAUGGGUAGUUUGGCUAGGCCAAGGGUGAGCCCUAAGCCAGCUCCCCGUGCUUUUUGGGAAGGACGUAUGGAGUGGAGAGCGCCUAGGUAUGCGGAAGUACGCACGAUCUUGCCCAUACGCACGCACAGUCUGGUGCGAGUGAUCCCAACCCCUUGCAAAUGCCGUGCUAGAGUGGGCAUCCAGCCUGGUAGGAGGAUGCCUGCGCAGCGCAUCUGGCCACCGGUGCGCCUCCUAGGUCCAGGCUACCCUACGCCCGCUCUACGCACGGCAACCAUCAGGCCCCUGCACAGCCCAGUUCGCCCUGUACUAGCACUCCGCUCGUACAGGGCUACUAGUUCCAUCCAGCCAGGACGGGUUGUGCAGGAGGUGCGAUCGAGACCGCCAGUGCUUCUCCACGGCCCGGUAUAUCCAGUACCAGCACCACGCACCAGGCCUCCAAUACGUCAGCCCAGUCCAACUCAGCCUGUUCCCGCUCCUCGCACUAGCCUUAAAGUGCGUGUCUCCAGUCUGGCAGCUCCACUACCAGCCCCACGCACCAGGCUUCCAGUGCGUCAGCUCAGUCUCGAGCUUCCGACAACAGUUUCCAGUCCAGAGUAUCCGGCAACAGUGUCCAGUCCAGAGUAUCAGGCAACAGCGUCCAGUCCGGAACCGAGUGAGUCUGCCUGCAGUCCGGAACCGAGUGAGUCUGCCUGCAGUCUGGAGCUAGAGUCGGUCUACAGUCCGGAGCCCCCAGAGACGCUCUGCAGCCCUGAGUAUUCUGCAGGGGUGGACAGGUUGGGUGGGGGUAGUAGACCGGAACCUGAGCCACCUCCAGUAUAG